CGGCCUUGCAUCCAAAUGAUUUCUACUGGAUGUUGUCGGUGCGCUGACAGUCCCCCCUCUCCACAGUUAUAUUCCUCAAUUGUCUUCACAGGAGCAAGUCACAAUGCCGUCCACACCAAAUUUGUUGGCAAAGCUUUUUGACAGCUGAUUAUCAUGGGGAUGAACUAUCAGUGAAAUGGUCAAGACAUGACAAAGAACUACUGAGUGGACAUUUUGGAUCAUGGAUUGUCAGUAAGGAGGACAACAACAAGUGGUGUACCAAAUUAGUAGUGCUUCAACUUGAAAAUAUCAUCUGAUGUUUAGUCGCUUCAACAAUAUGAAUCAACAUCAACCGUGCAGAUCGUUUUUG